rnacentral:rRNA from 1 species
UACGUAGGGGGCUAGCGUUGUCCGGAAUCAUUGGGCGUAAAGAGCACGUAGGCGGCCAGAUAAGUCCGGUGUGAAAGUCACAGGCUCAACCUGUGAAUGCCGCUGGAAACUGUCUGGCUAGAGUCCGGAAGGGGCGAGUGGAAUUCCUGGUGUAGCGGUGAAAUGCGCAGAUAUCAGGAGGAACACCAAUGGCGAAGGCAGCUCGCUGGAACGGUACUGACGCUGUGGCGCGAAAGCGUGGGGAGCAAACAGG